UACGUAGGGGGGCAAGCGUUGUCCGGAUUCAUUGGGCGUAAAGAGCUCGUAGGCGGCUGUUCAAGUCGAACGUGAAAACUCGGAGCUCAACUCCGAGCCUGCGUUCGAUACUGGACGGCUAGAGUCUGGUAGGGGGAUCGUGGAAUUCCUGGUGUAGCGGUGGAAUGCGCAGAUAUCAGGAAGAACACCAAUGGCGAAAGCAGCUCUCUGGGACGGUACUGACGCUGAGACGCGAAAGCGUAGGGAGCGAACAGG
rnacentral:rRNA from 1 species